AUUGAACGCUGGCGGCAGGCCUAACACAUGCAAGUCGAACGAGUGGCGGACGGGUGAGUAAUGUCUGGGAAACUGGCUGAUGGAGGGGGAUAACUACUGGAAACGGUAGCUAAUACCGCGUACCAUAGGAUGUGCCCAAGUGGGAUUAGGUUGUUGGUGGGGUACCGGCUCACCAAGCCGACGAUCCCUAGCUGGUCUGAGAGGAUGACCAGCCACACGGGAACUGAGACACGGUCCAGACUCAUACGGGAGGAAGCAGUAGGGAAUAUUGGACAAUGGACGCAAGCCUGAUGCAGCCAGGCCGCGUGAAUGAAGAAGGUCUUCGGGUGGUAAAGGACUGUCUGUAGGGAAGCGUUACCUGCAGAAAAAGCACCGGCUAACUACGUGCCAGCAGCCGCGGUAAUAC
rnacentral:rRNA from 1 species